rnacentral:rRNA from 1 species
AUUGAACGCUGGCGGUAUGCUUAACACAUGCAAGUCGAACGGCAGCACGAGAGAGCUUGCUCUCUUGGUGGCGAGUGGCGGACGGGUGAGUAACGCGUAGGAAUCUGCCUAGUAGUGGGGGACAACUCGGGGAAACUCGAGCUAAUACCGCAUACGCCCUACGGGGGAAAGCGGGGGAUCUUCGGACCUCGCGCUAUUAGAUGAGCCUGCGUUGGAUUAGCUUGUUGGUGAGGUAAUGGCUCACCAAGGCGACGAUCCAUAGCUGGUCUGAGAGGACGAUCAGCCACACUGGGACUGAGACACGGCCCAGACUCCUACGGGAGGCAGCAGUGGGGAAUAUUGGACAAUGGGCGAAAGCCUGAUCCAGCAAUACCUCGUGUGUGAAGAAGGCCUGCGGGUUGUAAAGCACUUUCAAUUGGGAAGAAAGGCUUAGGGUUAAUAACUCUGAGUCUUGACGUUACCUUUAGAAGAAGCACCGGCUAACUCCGUGCCAGCAGCCGCGGUAAUACGGAGGGUGCAAGCGUUAAUCGGAACUACUGGGCGUAAAGCGCGCGUAGGUGGUUUUGUAAGUCAGAUGUGAAAGCCCUGGGCUCAACCUGGGGAUUGCAUUUGAUACUGCGUGACUAGAGUAUAGUAGAGGGAAGCGGAAUUCCGGGUGUAGCGGUGAAAUGCGUAGAUAUCCGGAGGAACAUCAGUGGCGAAGGCGGCUUCCUGGACUAAUACUGACACUGAGGUGCGAAAGCGUGGGUAGCAAACAGGAUUAGAUACCCUGGUAGUCCACGCCGUAAACGAUGUCAACUAGCCGUCGGACUCAUUAUAAGGGUUUAGUGGCGAAGCUAACGCGAUAAGUUGACCGCCUGGGGAGUACGGCCGCAAGGUUA